ensembl:lincRNA Mir124-2hg Mir124-2 host gene (non-protein coding)
AGAAAGCUUCUGAAUUUCAAGCAGAAAGUGGAAGGAGCUCCACAGAGCAAUAUCUUGGGCUGCGUGUGCAGAGCGUAGACAAUGAAAAUCUCCGCCCCCUCCCCCAUGCUCUCAAGUCUUCAAGAUUUUUUUCUUUCCUUCACAACGAUGGAAGCUAUGUAAAAAUCAAAUACACAGAGAUGUAUAUACUUUUUUUUUUUAAAGCACAGACUAACAAACCGAAGGACCUGACCAUGGAUUAUUCAAGGACUCACCUGCUGGGGAGCGCUCUGGGGUCUCCGCACAAAACCUGCUUUUGAGCCCUUUGGCUUUCUUCAGGCGAGCGCAGUCCGUCCAUCCCCCUGGCCCACCCAGCCGCAAGGGAUGCUGUGAAAAGAGCCGCUGCUUGCCGCCUCCGGCCUGCCGUCCAGAGGGCUCCGCCCGUAGAGGUCAACUCCCCUCAUUCUUCUUUCCAUCUUGCCCUCCCUCCGCCGAGCCCAGACUCGGAUCUCCUCCUGACUCCCGCCGCAGUCAGAGAGAGCGCAUCUGCUGCGCUGCCCUUAAAUCUACGCCCAGAGCGGGCUCAGACCCGAUCUCUGCUCUCCAGAGCCGGAGGAAGCCCGAGCAAGCAGCCUUUUCUCUUCGCAGUAAAAUCAUAGCCAGACCAGAUGGGCCCCAGCUCUCCCGGGACUCGGCAGGCUUAUAUGGAGUAAAAUAAUGUAGAAUGCUGCAUCACCCCUCAGCACCGUGAAUUUAGAAGUUCCAGCAUGUUGUGAAGCAGACACAUCUUUGCUAUGAACACUGUGACUCACUACAUCAGUGCUGGUAUAAUAAAAUGCUUCUAAUGAUGUAGCUGUUAAAUUUUCUAAAAUAAAGAUCAGUUUAUUUUGUGAUGGCACAAUGAAAGAGGUGUUUAAUUUUUUACUAGAUUUUAAAAUAAAGCUUAUAAAAAUAUUAAGUUAAAAUUAAAAAAUAUGAUUUUAUAAUUUGUUUUGUGUGUGUGAGGGGGGGCUAACUCUUGAUUACAUGUUAAAUCAACUUAAAUAUUUAACCAAGCUUGUCAAGUUCCAUAUAAGAUCAGUAUGUUUGUCUUCUGAACCCUGGUUUUGCACAGCAAGCAUUAGCAAUUCUUAAGAAAUUAAAUGAAGNNNNNNNNNNNNNNNNNNNNNNNNNNNNNNNNNNNNNNNNNNNNNAAAUGUGUAAU